GCUGGGCAUGGUGGCACGUGCCUGUAAUCCCAGCUACUUGGGAGGCUGAGGCAGGAGAAUCACUUGAACCCAGGAAGUGAAGGUUGCAGUGAGCCAAGAUCAUGCCACUGCACUCCAGCCUGAGUGACAUAGUGAGACUCUGCCUCAG
ensembl:misc_RNA Metazoa_SRP Metazoan signal recognition particle RNA